rnacentral:rRNA from 1 species
UACAGAGGCCUCGAGCGUUAGGCGGAAUCACUGGGCUUAAAGCGUGUGUAGGCGGACUUCUAAGUACCUUGUGAAAUCCCACGGCUCACCCGUGGAACUGCUUGGUAUACUGGUUGUCUUGAGCCUUCUAGGGGCGAGUGGAACAAAUGGUGGAGCGGUGAAAUGCGUAGAUAUCGGGAGGAACACCUGUGGCGAAAGCGGCUCACUGGACCACAACUGACGCUGAGGCGCGAAAGCUAGGGGAGCAAACAGG